rnacentral:rRNA from 1 species
GACCGUGCGAAGGUAGCAUAAUCAUUAGUUUUUUAAUUGAAGGCUAGAAUGAAUGGUUGGACAAGAAAUAAUCUGUCUUAAUUAAAUAUAUUGAAUUUAACUUUUAAGUGAAAAGGCUUAAAUAAUCUGAAGGGACGAUAAGACCCUAUAAAACUUUAUAUUUUAAAAUUGUAGUUAAUUUUAUUCAAAUAUAUUAUUUAAAAAUAUUUUGUUGGGGUGACAAGGAUAAAAUUAAAAGUAACUGUCCUUUUUUAUUACAGUAAUGUUUGGUUUAAUGAUCCUUAAAUGGAUUAAAGAUUAAGUUACUUUAGGGAUAACAGCGUAAUUUUCUUUAAGAGUUCUUAUCGACAGGAAAGUUUGCGACCUCGAUGUUGAAUUAAAAGUUCUUUAUAGAGUAGAGACUAUAAAAGAAGGUCUGUUCGACCUUUAAAUUUUUACAUGAUUUGAGUUCAAACCGGUGUAAGCCAGGUUGGUUUCUAUCU